UUACGGCCAUAUCACCUUGAAACACCGGUUCCCGUAGUAUCACCGAAAUUAAGCAACGUUGGGCAUGGUCAGUAACUGGAUGGGUGACCGCCUGGAAAUACCAGGUGCUGUCAG